UGCCAGCAGCCGCGGUAAUACGAAGGGGGCUAGCGUUGUUCGGAAUAACUGGGCGUAAAGCGCACGUAGGCGGAUUGUUAAGUUAGGGGUGAAAUCCCAGGGCUCAACCCUGGAACUGCCUCUGAUACUGGCAAUCUAGAGUUCGAGAGAGGUGAGUGGAAUUCCGAGUGUAGAGGUGAAAUUCGUAGAUAUUCGGAGGAACACCAGUGGCGAAGGCGGCUCACUGGCUCGAUACUGACGCUGAGGUGCGAAAGCGUGGGGAGCAAACAGGAUUAGAUA
rnacentral:rRNA from 1 species